rnacentral:rRNA from 1 species
CCUACGGGUGGCAGCAGUGGGGAAUAUUGGACAAUGGGCGAAAGCCUGAUCCAGCCAUGCCGCGUGUGUGAAGAAGGCCUUCGGGUUGUAAAGCACUUUCAGUGGGGAAGAAAGCCUUGGGGCUAAUACCCUCGAGGAAGGACAUCACUCACAGAAGAAGCACCGGCUAACUCCGUGCCAGCAGCCGCGGUAAUACGGAGGGUGCGAGCGUUAAUCGGAAUUACUGGGCGUAAAGCGCGCGUAGGCGGUCUGAUAAGCCGGUUGUGAAAGCCCCGGGCUCAACCUGGGAACGGCAUCCGGAACUGUCAGGCUAGAGUGCAGGAGAGGAAGGUAGAAUUCCCGGUGUAGCGGUGAAAUGCGUAGAGAUCGGGAGGAAUACCAGUGGCGAAGGCGGCCUUCUGGACUGACACUGACGCUGAGGUGCGAAAGCGUGGGUAGCAAACAGGAUUAGAUACCCCGGUAGUC